rnacentral:misc_RNA from 1 species
CAGUAUUGACUGCUUUAGUAGUCUCAUACUCUCAACCACUGUGCAUUGUUUCGUGGCGUUCGCGUCACCCACAUUUCACCACUGAUUGAGUACACACAUAACAUAUAAUACGCAUA